rnacentral:rRNA from 1 species
CCUAACACAUGCAAGUCGAGCGGUAACAGAAAGUAGCUUGCUACUUUGCUGACGAGCGGCGGACGGGUGAGUAAUGCUUGGGAACAUGCCUUGAGGUGGGGGACAACAGUUGGAAACGACUGCUAAUACCGCAUAAUGUCUACGGACCAAAGGGGGCUUCGGCUCUCGCCUUUAGAUUGGCCCAAGUGGGAUUAGCUAGUUGGUGAGGUAAUGGCUCACCAAGGCGACGAUCCCUAGCUGGUUUGAGAGGAUGAUCAGCCACACUGGGACUGAGACACGGCCCAGACUCCUACGGGAGGCAGCAGUGGGGAAUAUUGCACAAUGGGCGCAAGCCUGAUGCAGCCAUGCCGCGUGUGUGAAGAAGGCCUUCGGGUUGUAAAGCACUUUCAGUCAGGAGGAAAGGUUAGUAGUUAAUACCUGCUAGCUGUGACGUUACUGACAGAAGAAGCACCGGCUAACUCCGUGCCAGCAGCCGCGGUAAUACGGAGGGUGCGAGCGUUAAUCGGAAUUACUGGGCGUAAAGCGUACGCAGGCGGUUUGUUAAGCGAGAUGUGAAAGCCCCGGGCUCAACCUGGGAACUGCAUUUCGAACUGGCAAACUAGAGUGUGAUAG